ACAAGUCAGAUGUGAAAUCCGGGGGCUCAACCCCCGAACUGCAUUUGAAACUGUUGGUCUUGAGUAUCGGAGAGGCAGGCGGAAUUCCUAGUGUAGCGGUGAAAUGCGUAGAUAUUAGGAGGAACACCAGUGGCGAAGGCGGCCUGCUGGACGACAACUGACGGUGAGGCGCGAAAGCGUGGGGAGCAAACAGGAUUAGAUACCCUGGUAGUCCACGCUGUAAACGAUGGAUACUAGGUGUGCGGGGACUGACCCCCUGCGUGCCGCAGCUAACGCAAUAAGUAUCCCACCUGGGGAGUACGAUCGCAAGGUUGAAACUCAAAGGAAUUGACGGGGGCCCGCACAAGCGGUGGAUUAUGUGGUUUAAUUCGAUGCAACGCGAAGAACCUUACCAGGGCUUGACAUCCUACUAACGAAGUAGAGAUACAUUAGGUACCCUUCGGGGGAAGUAGAGACAGGUGGUGCAUGGUUGUCGUCAGCUCGUGUCGUGAGAUGUUGGGUUAAGUCCCGCAACGAGCGCAACCCUUAUUGUUAGUUGCUACGCAAGAGCACUCUAGCGAGACUGCCGUUGACAAAACGGAGGAAGGUGGGGACGACGUCAAAUCAUCAUGCCCCUUAUGUCCUGGGCUACACACGUAAUACAAUGGCGGUCAACAGAGGGAUGCAAAACCGUGAGGUGGAGCGAACCCCUAAAAGCCGUCCCAGUUCAGAUCGCAGUCUGCAACCCGACUGCGUGAAGUCGGAAUCGCUAGUAAUCGCGGAUCAGCAUGCCGCGGUGAAUA
rnacentral:rRNA from 1 species